UCGCUGACUGAUGCUGUACUCCAAACAGACAUAGUCACUGGCUAAUGCUUGUGUGAGGACAAGUGUUCCAUGGACACUGGAUACAAAACACAUGCUGAGAAAGAUCUGGGAAUGCUUGAUAUUUAAACUAGUAAACUUUUCCUUCCAAACUGACUUCUGGUCAUUGGCUACAGACUAACCCUUCACUUCUGGAAAAAGAAAAGGAUAGCUUCUGAAAAGGAAUCCACUCGAGUCUCUCAGUUUUACCGUAAACCUCCGGUACUCAGUAGAGUUUGCAUGCAUGCUUUCAUAUCUGCCCUGAGGUAUUGUAUUGUAGCUCAUGCUGCCUGCCCUGAAGUUUAGGAAAACUUGAACAUGUUUUAUCUUGUUGCUGGUGAGAGUUGCCCAGGACACUUCUCAGGCAGCAGCAAUGAAGGACAAAUGCUGAAAACUGCUUGUCCCAGCUUCACUUUGUUCCCCAAAUAAAUUAUGUGAGUAUAUCCUGUGAUGCCCAGCCCUCUUAUGUAACUGUAUGUGCUGGCUAGAAUCACAUGUCUCUCAUCAGUGGGCAGCUCCUUACCCCCAGGAUCACCAUAUAAAAAUACACAAGAGGAAAGCUGAAGUGCCAAGCAAUGGUCUGUUUCUACCCAUCAGUGUAUUCAAGACAAUGUCCUACUGUUUCUGAUUUUUCUUUUUCUUUCCCCUCAAUGGGCUGUGCCUGCUAAUAGUUGUUAGUAGUGUGACUCAGGACCUGCGUUUGGCUGCCUGCCUGCUCUAGUUCACUGUAACAGUGCAAAGCAAUUAUCCUGCUAGUUUUCCUGAGGAUUUUUUUCUGAUUUAUCCUUGUCACAACACAGAUUGGUUCUGUGCUGUUGUAUAUGUUAGAUACAUCAGAUAAUAAGUACUUCUGAUUUAAAAAACCAUUAACUUCAUUUAAAUAUAUUUUCCCUCUAGCCUCAGCCUAUUAAACAUUUCUUUUGUAUGUUGCCUUUUGUUGAUUGGCCAAAAAAAGUGUUGUGUGGCCUGUCAUAAAGGGAAUGGAAAAGAAAUACUGCACCCUUACAGGGGGUGCAACUUACUAUUCAUGCAGUCAGUUAACAUCGCAUGGCAGUGGCGGCAGAUAGUUUUAGGAGGGUUAGACUACCCAUAGGAGCAAGAACUGUACAUAGGCUGAUAUCCUUGGUGGGGAGGAAGAAAACCUUCUUUGGGUAUAUUACAGUUUUUAUUUUAAACAACAAUUAGGUCUGAAUCCAGAUAAAAAGAUUCCAUAAGUUCUCACUUGCACACAAAAGCCUUUUUAGCAAAGCAGGAAAGGUACUCGGUGUUCUCUAGUUUCUGCUUCCUAGCUUCAGAAAGGAUAGGAUACGGGUUCUAAGAAAUGAGUAGUGUUUGGAAAUGUGGUCAUCUGAUAAAUGAUUGAAAUUCAGUCAGUUCAGUUAAGGAAUGGAGUUAGUUUGUAUUUCUUUUCAGGUAAGGGCGUCUGUGUCUUAGUCAGGUAUCACUACUAGAAGUAUUUUAGAAGUGCUUGCAGUGCUGAGGUUUAACCCCAGUAGAUACUUAAGCACCACACAGCUGCUUCCUUGUUCCCCCAGCCAGUGAGGUGAGGGGGAGGAUGAGCAGGGAGGUGUGAGAACUCAUGGGUUGAAAUAAAGACAGGUUAACAGGUAAAAAAAGGAAACAAAGAAAAAGAAAUCCAAGAAAAUCAAGUGAUAAAACAUUUUUAAAAACCUCACAGUGCAGCAACAAAAAGCUUUGUUGCUCACUACUACCUCAGUGAUGCCAGCCAGUGCUGGAGCAAUGACAGCCCCAGUUCUACUUGCUGAGCAUGGUGUCACAUGAUGUGGGAUAAUCCUCUGGUCCUUUGAGUCAGUGGUCCCAGCUGGGGCACAUCCCAGCGUACUCCCAGCUAGAACAUUGGUGUACUAAAAACACUUAGCUGAUCACAAACCCAAAACAUCUUACUAAGUAGUAUGAAGAAAUUUAACUCUGUCCCAUCCAAAACAGUAUUCAUAGUUGGAAGUUUUCAGUGUAAAUGUGUGUGGGAGCUUUUUACUUUAAAAAUAAAUUCCUGCAAGUAAGUUGCUUUUCAAAAUGACUUCAGACUGAAUUGAAAAAAAUACCCAUACAUGAAAGAGGCCUGGGAAGAGAGUUUGAGAAAAGUAUUUAAUCAGUAGAGGAAGUGUCUUUUGAGGUUAAGAGCACAGUGAGGAACUGGAAACUGAUUAGUCAAGCUGAGAUGGAUUUACUGAUUAAAGCCAAAAAAAGCAAAAGACUCUUCAGCCACAUAAAUAAAAAGAUAAUAAGGAAGGAAGCUAGAUGUUUAUUCAGUAAAAUGAAAUAGAAGUCAAAGGUAAUGUAGUCAUGACCCCAAGCUAGAGAAAACUGCCCUUGUCUGUGUGAGAGGGUAGCCAUUCUUUCCAAGGGAGAGGAGGAAGGCAUUCAGCAAUGGGUUGCAAAAACUAAAUGUGUCUGUGAUGGUUCAUGAAUUCUUUUUGUCAUUUCUCCAAGAGCACUGUGCCCAAAAUAUUUACUAACCACAGAACCAAUCAAAUGUAUUAUCUUGAAUGCUAAAUUAAUGAAACUUAGUUUGAGUUUCUACUAAUUUAUUUGGAAUGCAUCCUCUAGAUUGUGAGACAAGUUUGGGCUGUUUGUGCAGUGUUGCAACAGAGGGACGAGUUCUGCUCUAGUUGUGAAAGGCCAGUACAAGUCAUUGAUGCUUCUCUUCCUGGAAUAUUAUUACAAAAGGGAUUGUUUCAGACUCAAGCACAGAUGGGGAAUGUGACCAGUUUAAAGGAUUAUGAGGUGUUAUCAGGGGUAAUGAGGAAUUAAUAGAGCUUCUCAAAAUGAAAGAACUUCUUUUGCGAGAUAAAAGAGAUAGGGAAGAAGUAUUUUACACAUGGGACUGUGCUGACAGGCUAUACCCUGAACUGCUCUCAGAAACUUCUUGGAAAAAAAAUGUUACUUUGUUUUCCUGUUAGGUCACAUCCAUUCCAGUUGUUGAAUCAAAACAAUUGUUCUGAGACUCAUACAGAGUACUUUUGUUUUCUUCUCUAUGCAUUGAAAGAUAUAAAAGCCAUCUUUCAGUGGGAUGUAGAUAUUUUCCCAUGUGUAUUUCUUUUCCAUUUAGUCAAACUUGAAAUCUAGAGAUAAUUUCUGAGGAGAGCUAGGAAAGUGUUUCAGUGCAAAUAUAUUUGGCCCCUUAUGAGAAUUUCAAAGCAACAUAAUAGUAAUGACAACUGAAAUUUGGGUGCUGUAAUUAAAAGGAAUGCUAUAAAAACCUAAGUCUGUGUAUUCUGUUGUUUUUUAAGUAUUAUUUGAAUUCCUUAGCUUUAGACACAUGGUUUUCUGGGCCGGUGAUUAAAAGCAGCCCUUCUCAAGACAUAUAUUCCCUUCUGAAAUACUAAUCUUUUCUGUUUGGUGAUGGAAGUGGUAGCUGCUAUAAGCUUAGCUCAUUCUUCUAAUGCAAUGCUGGGGAGUCCUUUUGCAAAGGUCUUCUCUCAUCCUUCUUGUGUGUCCCCACAGCAAUGAUGGAAUUCAGUUCUCUAGAUCUUACUGUGGGCAGUGUGCUAGGUUUUUAGGGCUAGGGGAGAUUUUGUUAUCUCUGCCAUAUGCAUGGCAAACUAACCCUAACCUGAACUUCAUAUUGAGUGAAUCUCUUGUAACUUAGGCUUGGGCUUGCAGAUACUAAUGCUGACCAAAAGAAGCAAAUCACUUACUUUCUAUACUUUGGCCACUUUAACAAAAGGGAGGAGGGGAGGACACAGUAAGAGAAUGAUGAAUUGAAGACAGCUUUUAUGACUGGAAAAUUUAUUACCCAAAGAAAUUUUUUCUGGAUAAAUUAGCCUCGAAUAAAUUUCAGUGUAUGAUAGUUUAAAACUUGUGUCCUCUCUUAAAUUUCUUUCUCUUCGUGUUACUUCAGGGGAUGUUACAAAUAGGAAAAAUUUGCAUAAACUUCAUUGGAAAGCAGUCUUCUAUCCAUCAGCUGCAGACAUCCACUUUGGAAGAAGGGCUUUAUAGCCUUUUUCUAAUCUCUAAGACAUUGCUGCUUUUUCCUAUGUCCAAACUUUGUCAGCCUCAGCAGUCUUCCUUAUUUUAUAAGAAAGCAAACUUUGGUGGCAUUGUUGUUCCCUGCUGGGUGUGCUAAGUAGUUCACUGUUUGGCUGAAUAUAUGUCUUAAGCACUGGUAAGCUAGCUUACCCUCCAUAAAUUUGUAACUUGUUAUAAAGAUAUUUCACCAUGAAAUAAAAUUGUCAAGUAGAAAAUUGAAAAUACAUACCUUAUAAUCCAAAAUUCAUUUUCAAGUUAUACUUACGUGGCCCAAAAGACAGGAUUAAAUUUCUCAAAAGCUUGGCAGACAAUUUUAGACACUUAGUAGCUUCUAGGUAGUACAAUCAUAUUUUGCAUAUAUUCACAUUUCAAGUAGAGCUAAAGUCUAGCCAGUACUGUGGAGUUAGGCAUCAACGCUGUUGUGUGUAAACACUGGUGAAUCAGUAAAGGUGCUGUGUUAAUUCAAUAGCUAAUGUUGAUAUUUUAAUAAAAGGAACAGGGAAGCUAAACCGAGGCACAUACAGUUAGAACAUGUUUAAUAUCUGGAACAGACUAGUGAAGUCUGUCAAAAGUUUGGAGACAAAGAGAAAGGGGAAGAAAACAAAGCAAAAAAAAAAAGCAACCAAAAAACCCUUGCUACACUGUGGAAGUGUUGAGGAUGAAUCACAUUAACAGACCAGUAAAAACAUUUACUUGCUAUUCCAAGGCAAUGUUUCAUUACAGAUUCUUUGCUGUGGUUCUUAAUACUGAUGGUUAAUUGCAAGUACUGAAUUUCCUCUGCAGCCUGUAGAUCAUGAUGCAUUAAUUUACUUGCUGCUUGCUUGGAUUUGUAAAAUUGUUGUAGAUCCUCCCUGUUACCUGUAAGACAGUUGAGGGGGGAGUUGCCUGAAAAGCAAUACUCUACCCCCAGUAUGUCUGCACAUUAUGCAAAAGAAUUAAAUUAUUGGAUGUGCUGGUUAAUACUAAUGGAAUAUGAAUUGACAGAAAAUCAGAGAAGGCAAAUAUAUAGAAUGUGAAUUAAUGCGUUUGUGCUGGGAGAGAUCUGGCCUGUCCUGUGAACACUGGGCAUACCUCUGUUGCAGUAAACUCUGUGUAUGGGCUCCUCUCCUGCCGAGUACUGAUGGUGCAAGCCUCAAGGACUGAGUCAGUGUGCCAGCAAGAUCUGAAAGCAGCACAGUCCCACAGACUCAGCCUUGCUGCUCCCGAGCUCAAGAGGGCUUGUGCAGCCCAGUGUAUUGGGAAAGGAGUGCCAGGAAAUGAAGGUGUUAGAAUAACGUGUUGCGGUGGUGGAUGUUGGGAGGGUUGACCAGUUUUCUGAAUCUGAGUCUGCUGAUUGUUGAGCUAUUGGAUAAGGCUUAUCUUGUGAGUUAAAUGCCUUUAAUGUUACUUCUUGCUAAAAGUCUAAUGUACUUGACAGCCAACUGCAGACUUCAAAGUAAUGAUGAAGUACCUGAUGUAUUUGCUAGCUAAUAAUAAAUGCUGCUUUUAUAUAUCUGCUAUCUUGAUUAAAGUAAUGUAAUAAUAGUAUUUUAAUUUUUAGAAAGAUUAUGCUUGACAAAAUGUAGUUUGUCUUUACAGGAUUAUGUUGGUGAAACUCCUAUUCAUAAAGCAGCACGGUCUGGUAGUAUGGAUUCCAUAAGUGCCCUUGUGGCUCAUGGUGCACAAAUAGAGUAAGUGAGGUAUUUUUUCUUGUUGUUGAUUGUUGUGUGUGUAGCUGACUAACUUAGAUUGGUAAACAUAGAUACUAAUUUCAGAAAGAAAAGUCAAAAUAGCAGACACAUGAUCCAAAUAAUCAUGACAGCUAGACAUGUCCAACUGUAAUGAAGCCUAAGAUAUUUUGCAUGUCUAGUAAUAAAGUUAAUUUUAAUUAAAUGAUACCAUUGUGCUACAUUAGUGUUGCACAUACAUCUGAUAUAGUAAAAUAUUUAUUGUGCUUCUGUCAGAUGACCCCAAACUGUACACUUUAUUCAGCAUGUAGUUACUUUUUAUGAGAAAUCUACACCUUGCACUGGUGAAUAAAUAUAGAAAACAAUGCAAAAGCAGCAUUAUGUGCAAAACAGCAAUUCACACACUUCACCAUUAGUUUAUUACUGUUUGUUAGUGUAUUGUGUAUUUGCCCUGUUAACUUUUUUCUUUAAAGGUUUAUGUACUGCAAAAACAUUCAGAAAAGCUCACAAACUUUUGCAACUUACAGCAUGGACAAAAUGGAUGCAGUUUUCACCUAGAAAUGUUGAGUAUAAGCUCUAUGGCUUAUAAAUAAUAUCAGUACUUUAGCAAUAUGUUUUAAUUAGAACUAGCUUUAUUAUCUUAAAUGGUAACUAGUUACUGUAUUUUAACCUGCACUACGAAACUUUGAAGUUGUAAGUGAAAUAAGAAUCAUGUAGUUAAUUUCUUGUUUUACCCUUUGGUUUCCAUCUUACUGUUUUUGUAAUGCUGCCUUGAUAAAUCUACCAUAAAAUUUAACUCUUUUAGCUGUGUCAUAGAGUGUUCAGGGAAUAUAUUACCUUUAAGUUAAUAGUAGUGAACUAAUUGCUUUGUAUGAAGAGAUUUCUUUGUAGAAAAACGAAAUAAGCUGUCUCAGUUAUUGACAAGCACAUUAAAUCAGUCUUGAAUGUAUAAUUUCCCAUUUUUCACUCACUUUUGGAUAUUUUUAAGAUAAACUUGGAAUUAAAUUUACUGUGGAAUUGAGCAAACCUUAAUUAUCAUCAUCAAUUAGUAUGUAAUCUUGUGGUUUUAACAAAGUAGCCAACCAAAAGAAAAGUUGUGGAACUACAUAAACAAUGUGAAGUGGGUGAUACCUGUCUUUGACCAAAGCUAUUUGCAGCAGAAGCAGUGUAGGUUUAUAGCAAUUUUAAUGAACAGGAAAUAACAUGAAUUCUCAGUUUCCUAACUUUGAAUUCCAUCUAUGUUUCAGAUAGGUAAUUAAACAUCAGGUCCUGUCAUGGUAGUGGUAAAAUCAGGGAUGCAAUACAAAAGGCUUGUGGAGCAACCCAAGUUUAAUCAUUUAGAGAAUAAGGACUUGGCCCUGUCACCUGAGGGAGUUUAGCUAUUGACUGAUAGGGGGGAGGAUUUUUUUCCUUAGUUUCCAGGUUCAGUAUGUUAAAUUAGGCCAAAUCCAUGUAUAUAUUUUUGACACUGAUUCAUUUUGGGUCAUCUGGUUUUGAAAGCUGGCCCUGAUUAAUGGUUAUGUAGAUUUCCUUGUUUUUGUAAAAACAUGAAAAUAUAAAUGCUCUGGAAGUUCUGACUCCUUUAUUUUAUUACUCCAGUUAGAAGAAAAGGAGAGGGGUUUUAGCCAUAUAUUUGAGUUUUAAUUUGUAUAUAUUAACUGAAAUGAUAAUUGGCUGAUAAUUGAUUGAUAAAACCAAGGCAAGAAUUUUAUGAAAUACAGAACUAAGCACUAACUAGAAUUAAACUACUGAUCUGUUCUGAUGAUGAAUAAGUACUUUCUAUUUUUACUGGGAUUAGAUCCUCUAAUCCAGUUUUUUCUUUAUUUCUUAGUAUACCCCUUGGGACUCCAAAUAGUCAAGCACCUUUACAUGAUAUUUAUAAUAUAUGUCCAAAAUGCCAUCAUCCCUAGUUUUUUAUAGCAAGUAGAACAGGGAUGCUAAGAUUUCAUUAUUACACAAACACUAGUAACCACUAAUGUACUAUUGCAAGAAACGUAUUUUUUGUUAAUUAGUGAUUAUUGCUGUUAAAAUGAAGUAACUUGGACAAGAGAAAUCUUAUUAUCAGUGUUUACCACAUUUCUAAUUUAUAUCCUCCUUUGGUUAUAUUGGAAGACAAAGAGUAUUGGUAAUAGUCAAGGAUAAAAGUAAGAAUUUUAGUUUUAAUAAAAUAGCCUCACUUGAAUUUUUCUAGUUUACUAUAUUUCAGGCUUGCUAGUGUAUUGCUUUUGCAGAGAAAGACAGGAUGUUGCAGUAUAAAUCUCAUUAAGCUUGUUGCAUUGUUUUCCUAAUUGAUGAGAGAGAAUUUGGGUCUCUAUUCCUGUGUAAAUUUUUAAUAAUAAUAAAAAAUAAUAAUUGUACCCUAGUGAAAAUAUUUUGAUUUUUUUGUGGUAUUUACCUUCUCAUUUUAGCUGAAGCAUAUUCUGUGCACAGUAUGUCCUACAGCCAUAAAAAUGGUUGCUCCACUAACUAUGGUAUUCAUGGACCCUUGAAGAGGGGGAAGCAGGUGGUCACAAUGUCCUCAUAUGAGUGAAAAGUAAUCCUAGAAAGGGGGAGCAUUCCAUAUAGAAACUGCUGAAACUGCCACAGGUGCUUCUCCGAAAACCUUACAGUUGUGGCAUUGAAUGUUCAGUAUCGCUUCCUUUCUGCACACAAGGCAUACUGUUGAGCUUGAGAAAUGCCAGUGGCCUGACAGCAGCAGACCUUGCACAUACCCAGGGCUUCCAAGAAUGUGCCCAGUUUCUCUUGAACCUCCAGAACUGUCACCUGAAUCAUUUCUAUAGCAAUGGCACCUUAAAUGGGGUUCAUCAGAAUGCAGGUCCCAAUCCAUUCAGUGGUGGGACAAGUCGAAAGAGAUCCUUUGAAGAUACGGAGUCUGCUGGAGUGAAGAAGGCUAGAACAGAAGCUUACAGCUUUGAUGGCUUAAUACCAAUGCUGAAUGGAGGAGCUGAGGACGAUGCUGACAAUAUGCACGUUGAUAGAGAGUUUGCUGUUGUAUCAGAUAUGAAUAGCAGUAGCUCCAUAUUGAAUGCACUGACAAAUGGAUGUGCCAUCAAUGGACAUUUGGAUUUCAGCGCCGCACAGCAGCUCGGUGGGAUGGAUGCCAGGCGUGAGGAGUGCUUGGCAUUCGCACCCAACAGCGUCAUUCCUGGGGUCGCCUCUCCCAGCAGGCACCGCGUGCACACCGCUAAUGGCACCGAGGAGCCCGAGAAAGCCAUGAGCAAUUCCACGGAUAUGUGUGGAUCCCUGCACCUCAAUGGGAGCCCCAGUAGCUGUGUCUCUAACCGGCCCUCCUGGGUGGAAGACCCUGGGGACACUUUGCACUAUGGACACUAUCAUGGUUUUGGGGAUACUGCUGAAAGCAUCCCCGAACUCAGUAGUGUUGUUGAGCAUUCCAAUUCUGUCAAGGUCGAACAGAGAUAUGACAAUACUGUCCUAGGCAC